rnacentral:rRNA from 1 species
GAUGAACGCUAGCUACAGGCUUAACACAUGCAAGUCGAGGGGUAACAAGAGGAAAGCUUGCUUUUCUUGUUGACGACCGGCGCACGGGUGAGUAACGCGUAUCCAACCUGCCUAUAACUAGGGAAUAACCUUGCGAAAGUAAGACUAAUACCCUAUGAUUUCCUUUGAUGACAUCAGAUUAGGAAUAAAGAUUUAUCGGUUAUAGAUGGGGAUGCGUCUGAUUAGCUUGUUGGCGGGGUAACGGCCCACCAAGGCAACGAUCAGUAGGGGUUCUGAGAGGAAGGUCCCCCGCAUUGGGACUGAGACACGGUCCAAACUCCUACGGGAGGCAGCAGUGAGGAAUAUUGGUCAAUGGGCGGAAGCCUGAACCAGCCAAGUAGCGUGCAGGAUGACGGCCCUAUGGGUUGUAAACUGCUUUUAUACAGGAAUAAAGUUAGCCACGUGUGGUUAUUUGUAGGUACUGUAUGAAUAAGGACCGGCUAAUUCCGUGCCAGCCGCCGCGGUAA